rnacentral:rRNA from 1 species
UACGAAGGGAGCGAGCGUUGUUCGGAAUCACUGGGCUUAAAGCGUACGUAGGCGGCUAUACAAGUCAGAAGUGAAAUCCCGGGGCUUAACCCUGGAAUGCCUUUUGAAACUGUAUAGCUCGAGUCCCGGAGAGGUUGAUGGAAUAUCCAGUGUAGAGGUGAAAUUCGCAGAUAUUGGAUGGAACACCAGUGGCGAAAGCGAUCAACUGGACGGGUACUGACGCUGAGGUACGAAAGCGUGGGGAGCAAAC